AAGUUUCUACUCGUAUUUUCUCUUUUUGGAACGUCCCCAAAUAAAUUCCUCUUUCUUUCUUUCCAUUUUUGAACAACUAACCCACCACUAAUAAUACUUUAUUUAUUCUUAUUUUUCACUUUUUCACCACUCCUAAUACUAAUUAUAACACUUUUUCACCUUUUCACCACUCCCAAUAUUAAUUAUGAGUAACAUAUUUUUCUCCACUAUCAAUACAUUUUACUAUUUUUUCUUAAAAUCCGUGCCGUCCCCAAAGAGAAACUUAUUUUGGGGACGGAGGGAGUAUUUUUUUUCGCUUAUUCGUUAUAAAAGAAAAUUUUAUCAUUUCUCUUUUCUUUUCUUUUUUUUUCAUUCAAAGAUAAUAUUAUCUCUCCAUUUUUGAUGUGAUAGUUAUAAAUAUGAUCGAAUCGAGCCGAAUAACCUUAUACUCAAAUUUAAUUUGUCUAGUAUCAAAUUGAAUCUCCAAUUUUAUUUAUCAAAUAUUUUUUAAAACUCACCGAGCG
rnacentral:lncRNA from 1 species